rnacentral:rRNA from 1 species
UACGAAGGGGGCUAGCGUUGUUCGGAAUUACUGGGCGUAAAGCGCGCGCAGGCGGCUAUCCAAGUCAGUGGUGAAAGCCCGGAGCUCAACCCCGGAACUGCCAUUGAAACUGUUUAGCUUGAGGACGAGAGAGGUGAGUGGAAUUCCCAGUGUAGAGGUGAAAUUCGUAGAUAUUGGGAAGAACACCGGUGGCGAAGGCGGCUCACUGGCUCGUUUCUGACGCUCAGGCGCGAUAGCGUGGGGAUCAAACAGG